rnacentral:tRNA from 1 species
GCCGGGAUUGCCUAGCCUGGUAGGGCGAUGGCUUGCUAAGCCAUUGUCUGGCAACAGACUCGUGGGUUCAAAUCCCACUCCCGGCG